AUUUAACGCUGGCGGCAUGCCUUACACAUGCAAGUCGAACGGCAGCAUGGAGAGCUUGCUCUCUGAUGGCGAUUGGCGAACGGGUGAGUAAUGCAUCGGAACGUACCGUGUAAUGGGGGCUAACGUAGCGAAAGCUACGCUAAUACCGCAUACGACCUGAGGGUGAAAGCAGGGGAUCGCAAGACCUUUCGUUAUACGAGCGGCCGAUGUCAGAUUAGCUAGUUGGUGAGGUAAAGGCUCACCAAGGCGACGAUCUGUAGCGGGUCUGAGAGGAUGAUCCGCCACACUGGGACUGAGACACGGCCCAGACUCCUACGGGAGGCAGCAGUGGGGAAUUUUGGACAAUGAGGGCAACCCUGAUCCAGCAAUGCCGCGUGAGUGAAGAAGGCCUUCGGGUUGUAAAGCUCUUUUGUCAGGGAAGAAACAGCAGCUCUAACACAGUAUGCGAAUGACGGUACCUGAAGAAUAAGCACCGGCUAACUACGUGCCAGCAGCCGCAGUAACAC
rnacentral:rRNA from 1 species